UACGUAGGGGGCAAGCGUUGUCCGGAUUUGUUGGGCGUAAAGGGCGCGUAGGCGGUUUCUUAAGUUUGGAGUGACAGUGGGUGGCUUAACUACCCAAGGCCUCUGAAAACUGGGGAACUUGAGGACCAGAGAGGGACAUAGAAUUCCGGGUGGAGUGGUGAAAUGCGUAGAUAUCCGGAGGAAUACCAAAGGCGAAGGCAGUGUCCUGGAGGGUGACUGACGCUGAGGCGCGAAAGCUAGGGGAGCGAACAGG
rnacentral:rRNA from 1 species